AAUCAUGAGGUUGUGGAUUGCAGCCCACUAUUAAUGAAAUAAUUAACCAUUUGACAAUUUCCAAAGGUUUGAUUUCUAAUCUCGUCUAUUACUCUUUGUCUUUGACUAGUUGUCCAGUGUCCCCUUUCCUGGUCCCCUCCUUCACUGGCCAGACCCCGUCAGGAGCUAGGGCGCUGACCAACACUUUCCCCGCCUUCAAGUUCGACGCCUCGGACACAGUGUUCAUCCAGUGCCAGGCCACGCUGUGCUACGACUCUGACCUGUCCUGCCUAGGGAGUCAGUGUGAUACAAGAGUCAGACGGAAACGCUCACCGGGAACGCCGUUGUCCGAGAGUUUGUCGCUGGUCAUCUCAGUCCGAGACGCCAUCAACCAGACAGAAGAUAACGAUGGGCCUAGGAACAGUGGGAACAACCGAAGGCAACCCAUUGGCGAGUCACCAAGCAGCACAUUACCCACAUCCUUCCAAACUCACACGACGUGGCCACGCGAAGCUUUGCUCACCACUGCCGUAUUGGCGGCCGUGACACUUCUUUGUGUUGUAAUCAGUGCUUGUCUGGUGUUGAAGCUUUGUCAGCAGAGCCGGAAGAAUGCCGCCCCGGAUAUGACAGCCGCGGUGAAUGCUCAGUGAUACUAUUUAUAACACCUUCUUGGUUUGUACAAAAGAUUAAUGAAUAAACGAAACACAACCCUGGCA